rnacentral:rRNA from 1 species
GAUGAACGCUGGCGGCGUGCCUAAUACAUGCAAGUCGAGCGAACGGACGAGAAGCUUGCUUCUCUGAUGUUAGCGGCGGACGGGUGAGUAACACGUGGAUAACCUACCUAUAAGACUGGGAUAACUUCGGGAAACCGGAGCUAAUACCGGAUAAUAUUUUGAACCGCAUGGUUCAAAAGUAAAAGACGGCCUUGCUGUCACUUAUAGAUGGAUCCGCGCUGCAUUAGCUAGUUGGUAAGGUAACGGCUUACCAAGGCAACGAUGCAUAGCCGACCUGAGAGGGUGAUCGGCCACACUGGAACUGAGACACGGUCCAGACUCCUACGGGAGGCAGCAGUAGGGAAUCUUCCGCAAAGGGCGAAAGCCUGACGGAGCAACGCCGCGUGAGUGAUGAAGGUCUUCGGAUCGUAAAACUCUGUUAUUAGGGAAGAACAUAUGUGUAAGUAACUGUGCACAUCUUGACGGUACCUAAUCAGAAAGCCACGGCUAACUACGUG